rnacentral:rRNA from 1 species
UACGAAGGGGGCUAGCGUUGCUCGGAGUGACUGGGCGUAAAGGGCGCGUAGGCGGUUCAUACAGUCAGAUGUGAAAUUCCUGGGCUCAACCUGGGGGCUGCAUUUGAUACGUGUGGACUAGAGUGGGGAAGAGGGUCGUGGAAUUCCCAGUGUAGAGGUGAAAUUCGUAGAUAUUGGGAAGAACACCGGUGGCGAAGGCGGCGACCUGGUCCUUGACUGACGCUGAGGCGCGAAAGCGUGGGGAGCAAACAGG